rnacentral:tRNA from 1 species
GCCUGGCUGGCUCAGUCCUUAGAGCAUAUGACUCUUGAUCUUGGGCUCAUGAGUUAGAGCCCCAUGUUGGGUG